rnacentral:tRNA from 1 species
GCGCCCGUAGCUCAGCUGGAUAGAGCGUCGGUCUACGGAACCGAAAGUCGGAGGUUCGAAUCCUUCCGGGCGCGCCA